GACGAACGCUGGCGGCGUGCCUAAUACAUGCAAGUAGAACGCUGAAGAGAGGAGCUUGCUCUUCUUGGAUGAGUUGCGAACGGGUGAGUAACGCGUAGGUAACCUGCCUGGUAGCGGGGGAUAACUAUUGGAAACGAUAGCUAAUACCGCAUAAAAUUGAUUAUUGCAUGAUAAUUAAUUGAAAGAUGCAAUUGCAUCACUACCAGAUGGACCUGCGUUGUAUUAGCUAGUUGGUGAGGUAACGGCUCACCAAGGCGACGAUACAUAGCCGACCUGAGAGGGUGAUCGGCCACACUGGGACUGAGACACGGCCCAGACUCCUACGGGAGGCAGCAGUAGGGAAUCUUCGGCAAUGGGGGGAACCCUGACCGAGCAACGCCGCGUGAGUGAAGAAGGUUUUCGGAUCGUAAAGCUCUGUUGUAAGAGAAGAACGGGUGUGAGAGUGGAAAGUUCACACUGUGACGGUAUCUUACCAGAAAGGGACGGCUAACUACGUGCCAGCAGCCGCGGUAAUACGUAGGUCCCGAGCGUUGUCCGGAUUUAUUGGGCGUAAAGCGAGCGCAGGCGGUUAGAUAAGUCUGAAGUUAAAGGCUGUGGCUUAACCAUAGUAUGCUUUGGAAACUGUUUAACUUGAGUGCAGAAGGGGAGAGUGGAAUUCCAUGUGUAGCGGUGAAAUGCGUAGAUAUAUGGAGGAACACCGGUGGCGAAAGCGGCUCUCUGGUCUGUAACUGACGCUGAGGCUCGAAAGCGUGGGGAGCAAACAGGAUUAGAUACCCUGGUAGUCCACGCCGUAAACGAUGAGUGCUAGGUGUUAGGCCCUUUCCGGGGCUUAGUGCCGCAGCUAACGCAUUAAGCACUCCGCCUGGGGAGUACGACCGCAAGGUUGAAACUCAAAGGAAUUGACGGGGGCCCGCACAAGCGGUGGAGCAUGUGGUUUAAUUCGAAGCAACGCGAAGAACCUUACCAGGUCUUGACAUCCCUCUGACCGCUCUAGAGAUAGAGUUUUCCUUCGGGACAGAGGUGACAGGUGGUGCAUGGUUGUCGUCAGCUCGUGUCGUGAGAUGUAGGGUUAAGUCCCGCAACGAGCGCAACCCCUAUUGUUAGUUGCCAUCAUUCAGUUGGGCACUCUAGCGAGACUGCCGGUAAUAAACCGGAGGAAGGUGGGGAUGACGUCAAAUCAUCAUGCCCCUUAUGACCUGGGCUACACACGUGCUACAAUGGCUGGUACAACGAGUCGCAAGCCGGUGACGGCAAGCUAAUCUCUGAAAGCCAGUCUCAGUUCGGAUUGUAGGCUGCAACUCGCCUACAUGAAGUCGGAAUCGCUAGUAAUCGCGGAUCAGCACGCCGCGGUGAAUACGUUCCCGGGCCU
rnacentral:rRNA from 1 species